UUACAACUGCUCAGGCCAAGUACAUUGGUGUCGUCUAAUAGGCGGUCUCAUGCAUUGACACGUAAUCUUGAGACGAUUUAACAGGCAACCUGUACAAUGGGUUGUCCUAUAAGUUGUCUGGUAGUGGUAUAUAAUUCCUUAAUUUGUGCAUAAGAAAAAUAAAAUAUUAUGAGUUGCAUGGCAACAAUAACUCGUACAAUGGUUGUUAAGUUGUCUCGUAGUCCUACAAUUUAGCUCAUGAGGUGGUUGUUUCGCGAAGCAACGACCUCUUUCUCUCUCCUCGCUCUCUCUCCUCCACAUCAUCAAAAAUCCUACGUGGCACUGCAUGAGACGACCUAUGAGACCGUGUAGCAAUGUACUUGCCCUUAAUAUGUCGUGUGUAUGGCAAAUUUCUUCCAACAUCAGGAACGACCAAACACUUCUUUCAUACUAGUUAUCAUAUACUACCUCGUACUAGUACGUACUGGGGCAUGCAAAAUUGGUUACAUAGAACCACAAAGACAGAAAGUAUCCAAAUCAUUUUGUUUCAUUAAGGUGGAGAAAAACAAAUUGCAUUGACUCACAUGAUACAACUAGCUGCUAAGAUGGAUAGGCACCUACAACCAAAAACAAGAGGGAAGAACAAAUAUUUUUUUAAAAAAAUAUUAUAGAAAAUUAAAAUCUCCCAAUAGC
rnacentral:lncRNA from 1 species